GUAGGUGGCAAGCGUUGUCCGGAAUUAUUGGGCGUAAAGCGCGCGCAGGGCGGUCCUUUAAGUCUGAUGUGAAAGCCCACGGCUCAACCGUGGAGGGUCAUUGGAAACUGGGGGACUUGAGUACAGAAGAGGAAAGCGGAAUUCCAAGUGUAGCGGUGAAAUGCGUAGAGAUUUGGAGGAACACCAGCGGCGAAGGCGGCUUUCUGGUCUGUAACUGACGCUGAGGCGCGAAAGCGUGGGGAGCAAACAGGAUUAGAUACCCUGGUAGUCCACGCCGUAAACGAUGAGUGCUAAGUGUUAGGGGGUUUCCGCCCCUUAGUGCUGCAGCUAACGCAUUAAGCACUCCGCCUGGGGAGUACGGCCGCAAGGCUG
rnacentral:rRNA from 1 species